GAUGAACGCUGGCGGCGUGCCUAAUACAUGCAAGUCGAGCGAACAGACGAGGAGCUUGCUCCUCUGACGUUAGCGGCGGACGGGUGAGUAACACGUGGAUAACCUACCUAUAAGACUGGGAUAACUUCGGGAAACCGGAGCUAAUACCGGAUAAUAUAUUGAACCGCAUGGUUCAAUAGUGAAAGACGGUUUUGCUGUCACUUAUAGAUGGAUCCGCGCCGCAUUAGCUAGUUGGUAAGGUAACGGCUUACCAAGGCAACGAUGCGUAGCCGACCUGAGAGGGUGAUCGGCCACACUGGAACUGAGACACGGUCCAGACUCCUACGGGAGGCAGCAGUAGGGAAUCUUCCGCAAUGGGCGAAAGCCUGACGGAGCAACGCCGCGUGAGUGAUGAAGGUCAUCGGAUCGUAAAACUCUGUUAUUAGGGAAGAACAAAUGUGUAAGUAACUAUGCACGUCUUGACGGUACCUAAUCAGAAAGCCACGGCUAACUACGUG
rnacentral:rRNA from 1 species